rnacentral:rRNA from 1 species
AGCUCCAAGAGCGUAUAUUAAAGUUGUUGCAGUUAAAAAGCUCGUAGUUGGAUUUCUGGUACAACGCGCCUGGCCCGCUUUUGUGAGUGCCGGUUGCACGUUUGCCAUCCUUCUAGAAACCGUUUCUACCCGGGCAACUGGGCUGGACUCGUGAUCUAGAUCUUUUACUUUGAAAAAAUUAGAGUGUUUAAAGCAGGCUUUUGCUAUGAAUACAUUAGCAUGGAAUAAUAAUCUAGGACUUCGGUUCUAUUUUGUUGGUUUCUAGUACUGAAGUAAUGAUUGAUAGGGAUAGUUGGGGGUGCUAGUAUUGAGCGGCCAGAGGUGAAAUUCUUGGAUUCGCUCAAGACUAACUUAUGCGAAAGCAUUCACCAAGGAUGUCUUCUUUA